rnacentral:rRNA from 1 species
CGCCCGCCGCGCGCGGCGGGCGGGGCGGGGGCACGGGGGGCCUACGGGAGGCAGCAGUGGGGAAUUUUGGACAAUGGGGGAAACCCUGAUCCAGCAAUGCCGCGUGUGCGAAGAAGGCCUUCGGGUUGUAAAGCACUUUUGUCAGGGAAGAAAUCCUUUGGGCUAAUACCCUAGGGGGAUGACGGUACCUGAAGAAUAAGCACCGGCUAACUACGUGCCAGCAGCCGCGGUAAUACGUAGGGUGCAAGCGUUAAUCGGAAUUACUGGGCGUAAAGCGUGCGCAGGCGGUUGUGUAAGACAGGUGUGAAAUCCCCGGGCUUAACCUGGGAAUUGCAUUUGUGACUGCACGACUAGAGUGUGUCAGAGGGGGGUGGAAUUCCACGUGUAGCAGUGAAAUGCGUAGAUAUGUGGAGGAACACCAAUGGCGAAGGCAGCCCCCUGGGAUAACACUGACGCUCAUGCACGAAAGCGUGGGGAGCAAACAGGAUUAGAUACCCUGGUAGUCCACGCCCUAAACGAUGUCAACUAGUUGUUGGGGAUUUACUUCCUUGGUAACGUAGCUAACGCGUGAAGUUGACCGCCUGGGGAGUACGGCCGCAAGGUUAAAACUCAAAGGAAUUGAC